rnacentral:lncRNA from 1 species
CGAGUCCCCACGUGUGCUACUUUAGCAAAGGAAACAUCUUCAGAUGUAUUUCGGCUCGUCCUACAUUUCUCAAAACGUUCACCUUUUCUCAUCUUUCCCUUGUGAGUCAUUUAUAUGUGAAACCAGGGCAGGCAAGAAUACUCUCCGCUGAUCACUCUCCACCCUCAAUUUUCUAAGCUCGUGUUUGCGUGUUUUUGCUUUUGGUUGUUUAAAGAGUUUCUGACGUUUUCCUUGUUAUCCCGCAGCGUUGUGUACGCGUGUGAUCUCCGCACAGAAGGAUGUGCAUCUAGGCUUGUUUUUUAUCAAACGAUGAAACACGGUGUAUUUAUGCACCCGUCUCUUCUAGCUGCGGCAUGUUUUCACGUUGGAUCUUACUCUACUACUUCUUACCCCGACAUCAUUACUCUCCGCUUUAAUCCCUCCCCACCUCUCUUUUUACCCACUGUUUCCUCCAGGGAUGUGACUUAUGCUGCACCGACUCUUUGUACAUACAGCACAGGUAUCUCUGAGAAUAGACGGCAGUGUCUUUCUUGGUUCUUCAGGGAGCGGGGAAAAGCAAAGGGAGCCCUGAAGCUGUCUCACAGGCACAAAACCAGAAGAGGAAAAAAGUGUAAGAAUGAUUGAUCUCUCCAUCGGUGAUAAGAAGCUCUUCUCCAUCAUGCGCCUGCUGCCACCUCCGUCCCACUUUCCCUGAGCUAUCAUAGCGGGCCUGUCUGAGAGGCCCAUGAUAACGACAGGCCUGGGACACAAAGGUAAAUCAAUCUCAGCGAGGGGAAGCAGAUGGAGGACUGUGAGUGUGUGUGUGUGUGUGUGUGUGUGUGUACAUCAGUGUAUCCUGCCUUUUCAACAGCUGAUAUGUAGAUGUUACCACAAAUCUGCACAAACAUUUCCAUGCGAUAAGAAACAUAAAUCGCACUGCCAGUUACGUCUGAAU